rnacentral:rRNA from 1 species
CUACGGGAUGCUCCAGCAGGGAAUAUUGCACAAUGGACGGAAGUCUGAUGCAGCGACGCCGCGUGGAUGAUGAAGGCCCUCGGGUUGUAAAAUCCUUUUCAGGGGGACGAGGAAGGACGGUACCCUUGGAAUAAGCGUCGGCUAACUACGUGCCAGCAGCCGCGGUAAGACGUAGGACGCAAGCGUUAUCCGGAUUUACUGGGCGUAAAGCGUCUGUAGGCGGAAUGGUAAGUUGGACGUGAAAGCUCCGGGCUCAACUCGGAGAGGUCGUUCAAUACUGCCAAACUAGAGGGCAUCAGAGGAGCGUGGAAUUUCCGGUGUAGCGGUAAUAUGCGCAGAUAUCGGAAGGAACACCAAUGGCGAAGGCGGCGCUCUGGGAUGAACCUGACGCUAAGAGACGAAAGCUAGGGGAGCGAACAGGAUUAGAUACCCGGGUAGUC